GCCAGCCCGCUCAGAAACUCAAAUGAAUUGACGGGGCCCGCACAAGCGGUGGAGCAUGUGGUUUAAUUCGAUGAUACGCGAGGAACCUUACCUGGGCUCAAAUGUAUGUUGACGUAUUCUGAAAGGGAUACUUCUUCGGACAAUAUACAAGGUGCUGCAUGGUUGUCGUCAGCUCGUGCCGUGAGGUGUCGGGUUAAGUCCCAUAACGAGCGCAACCCCUAUCAUUAGUUGCCAUCAGGUCAAGCUGGGGACUCUAAUGAAACUGCCUACGCAAGUAGUGAGGAAGGUGGGGAUGACGUCAAAUCAGCACGGCCCUUACGUCCAGGGCUACACACGUGCUACAAUGGCCGGCACAACGGGAAGCGAGUUCGCGAGGACAAGCGGAUCCCUUAAAGCCGGUCGCAGUUCGGAUUGAAGUCUGCAACUCGACUUCAUGAAGCUGGAAUCGCUAGUAAUCGUGGAUCAGCCAAGCCGCGGUGAAUACGUUCCCGGGCCUU
rnacentral:rRNA from 1 species